rnacentral:lncRNA from 1 species
UUUGUUACCACUGAGCCACAAUGGAACUCCCAAUCAUAUACUUCCAUGGGUGGUAAUUUUAUUCCCAUGCCAGUAUUAUCAUGAUAUAUUAAGUGUGGAUCUUUUACUCAAGAUAGAAUCUGAAUUAAAUGAUUUCUUUUAAAUCAUACUGCUGAUAGAACUAGAGGAAGAAUUUAGAACGUCUGUCUUUGAUUUCAUUAUUUCUACUAAUAGGUUUUUUAGGCCUUAAAAGUGUAAAAGUUUUCUGUUCCUGAUGCCUGGAUGUUUCCAUGUGCCAAACAAAACAAAUAAACAGAACAAAAAAAAAAUGAUUUAACUCCCCAAGUGGUUACUUACUAGCCUUGACCUUCAGAAAUCCAAAAUAGGAUAUCAAACAUGUUGAUGGCAAAGUUUAUCUGGUAGGAGAUAUACAUGACUCUCCUAAAAGCCAGUUAUGUUAUUUGAUGUGUACCAACUGCUAAGCAGGUACGGCAUUAACAUAAUAAUUGUUCAGAGACUGGAACACUGUAACUAUGGAGACAUUGCCUCAUAGUGUUCUAACAGGCAGUGUCAGCCAGAUGUGAAAGUUGUGAUCAUAAAGGUAGCUUUGCCGGGUCCCCACCCUGCCUCUUGAGUUGCUUCCAAUGAAGGUUACACACUUCCAUCUUGAUUUGUUUAAUAUUCAUAGCCAAUAUCAGUGCUAGCUAUUUCAUUACUUAACAUAUUCACAUUAGAAUCCUGGUUUUGGCACGAGCUUGGUAAAGAGAUCAUGAACUCUGAUCAUGAACUCAUGAGUGAGGUAACUUGAAAAAGGAGAGCUGCCUUGAAGCUCAGCUCUAUUUAUUGCCUAAUGUCAUGAUUUGUUUUCCCAGAAAAGAGGCGAGACUUCUCUUCUAGACAAGAUGAAAGACACACAAGCCAUUCAGGAAGUUUCAGAGGCCCUGAAGAAUGAAGUUCAUGAGCUGGAAGAUAAAAUGGAGAAUAAAGCACAGAGUCUAAUAGGUUCUUGAGUACAGAGUUGAGACAAUGGGCUGCAUCACCACAUCUCCUCCUGAAACGGUUCAUCUCUUCAAAGGUGUGUGCAACUAUUAGAAACUUCUUAUUCAACUACAGGAAAAAGAACCCCCUGUGGCCCUAGGCCAGAUUUCUUUGUUUACAACAUUUGCAAAGGCUUGUUG